rnacentral:ncRNA from 17 species
UACGUUCAUCCCGCUCUCGGGCGGGACGCAAGUAAGUCGCGGAACGGAGCGUUCAUCCUAUGUUAUCAUUGGCAUUAAUCUUUUUUAGUCAUGUCCCAGUGGAGAAUCAUCUUCGCUGUGAAGACUACGAAUGGUUGAAGCAAGGAUUGGAAGAGACAACUCUUUUCACUCCCUUUGAGAAGGCUGAUAUUCUUAUCCAUUGGAUGGAACAUACAGAACCUCAUUGUUUUGAUAGCAAGGACGCAAACGACUGAAGGAACGGGGA